UCACUGUGACACAACAGGGUGGAGCAGGGACAUACAGACUGGGAUCUUCAACACAACAUGCCACCAGUCAGCUCCUUAACAGUGGGAACAUGACCACAGGUUAAAGGUCAGGGGAAAGACAGAAGGAAUGACCACUUGAAGUACAACCAGUACAGCAGCAAUCAGCUGGUCUUGUAAGGACUGUAAAAACAAAGGCCUGAAGUUGGUUGAGAGCAAGAUUUGAAAGACACCACUUGCACUUUUUUUCAUUACAUCACUUCAUAUGACUGUACAGCAAAGGAGCCUACAUGAUGCAAGCUAAACCUUUUUGGAGAGGAAGAUUGUUUCUCUUGGACUGACUUACAAGCUUCAGAGGCCAACAGCACAGUUGAAAUUCAAGUAUUUGAAAACUCAA